ensembl:misc_RNA Gm25687 predicted gene, 25687
ACUCUCGGGAGGCUGAGACAGGAGGAUCACUUGAGUCUCGGAGUGGCCUGCUGUGCACUAAACCAAUCGGUGGCUACACUAUGUUUGGCAUCAAUACGGUAACCUCCCGGGAGCGGAGGGACCACCAGGUUGCCUAAGGAGGGGUGAACCAGCCCAGGUCGGAAACGGAGCAGGUAAAAUCUCCUGUGCUGAUCAGAAAAUUGAAAUGAAAACUUGGGGUUCAAAGGAAGUAAAACUCAAAU